GAAUGCUGACAUAAGUAACGAUAAAGCGGGUGAAAAGCCCGCUCGCCGGAAGACCAAGGGUUCCUGUCCAACGUUAAUCGGGGCAGGGUGAGUCGACCCCUAAGGCGAGGCCGAAAGGCGUAGUCGAUGGGAAACGGGUUAAUAUUCCCGUACUUGGUGUUACUGCGAAGGGGGGACGGAGAAGGCUAUGUUGGCCGGGCGACGGUUGUCCCGGUUUAAGCGUGUAGGUGUGUGUUCCAGGUAAAUCCGGUUCACUUUAACACUGAGGCGUGACGACGAGGCACUACGGUGCUGAAGCAACAAAUGCCCUGCUUCCAGGAAAAGCCUCUAAGCAUCAGGUAACACGAAAUCGUACCCCAAACCGACACAGGUGGUCAGGUAGAGAAUACCAAGGCGCUUGAGAGAACUCGGGUGAAGGAACUAGGCAAAAUGGUGCCGUAACUUCGGGAGAAGGCACGCUGACACGUAGGUGAAGUGAUUUACUCAUGGAGCUGAAGUCAGUCGAAGAUACCAGCUGGCUGCAACUGUUUAUUAAAAACACAGCACUGUGCAAACACGAAAGUGGACGUAUACGGUGUGACGCCUGCCCGGUGCCGGAAGGUUAAUUGAUGGGGUCAGCGUAAGCGAAGCUCCUGAUCGAAGCCCCGGUAAACGGCGGCCGUAACUAUAACGGUCCUAAGGUAGCGAAAUUCCUUGUCGGGUAAGUUCCGACCUGCACGAAUGGCGUAAUGAUGGCCAGGCUGUCUCCACCCGAGACUCAGUGAAAUUGAACUCGCUGUGAAGAUGCAGUGUACCCGCGGCAAGACGGAAAGACCCCGUGAACCUUUACUAUAGCUUGACACUGAACAUUGAGCCUUGAUGUGUAGGAUAGGUGGGAGGCUUUGAAGUGUGGACGCCAGUCUGCAUGGAGCCGACCUUGAAAUACCACCCUUUAAUGUUUGAUGUUCUAACGUGGACCCGUAAUCCGGGUUGCGGACAGUGUCUGGUGGGUAGUUUGACUGGGGCGGUCUCCUCCUAAAGAGUAACGGAGGAGCACGAAGGUUGGCUAAUCCUGGUCGGACAUCAGGAGGUUAGUGCAAUGGCAUAAGCCAGCUUGACUGCGAGCGUGACGGCGCGAGCAGGUGCGAAAGCAGGUCAUAGUGAUCCGGUGGUUCUGAAUGGAAGGGCCAUCGCUCAACGGAUAAAAGGUACUCCGGGGAUAACAGGCUGAUACCGCCCAAGAGUUCAUAUCGACGGCGGUGUUUGGCACCUCGAUGUCGGCUCAUCACAUCCUGGGGCUGAAGUAGGUCCCAAGGGUAUGGCUGUUCGCCAUUUAAAGUGGUACGCGAGCUGGGUUUAGAACGUCGUGAGACAGUUCGGUCCCUAUCUGCCGUGGGCGCUGGAGAACUGAGGGGGGCUGCUCCUAGUACGAGAGGACCGGAGUGGACGCAUCACUGGUGUUCGGGUUGUCAUGCCAAUGGCACUGCCCGGUAGCUAAAUGCGGAAGAGAUAAGUGCUGAAAGCAUCUAAGCACGAAACUUGCCCCGAGAUGAGUUCUCCCUGAGACUUAGAGUCUCCUGAAGGAACGUUGAAGACGACGACGUUGAUAGGCCGGGUGUGUAAGCGCAGCGAUGCGUUGAGCUAACCGGUACUAAUGAACCGUGAGGCUUAACCUUACA
rnacentral:rRNA from 2 species